UGGUAGAUGCACCCUGAUAACUAACUCCCCUGAUUGGCUAAUGCUCAUCAGGGGUUUUUUUG
rnacentral:sRNA from 1 species